rnacentral:rRNA from 1 species
UACAGAGGGUGCGAGCGUUGUUCGGAGUUAUUGGGCGUAAAGCGCUUGUAGGCGGCUUGUUAAGUCGCGUGUGAAAUCCCCAGGCUUAACCUGGGAAGUGCGCGCGAAACUGGCGAGCUUGAAUGCCGGAGAGGGUCGCGGAAUUCCCGGUGUAGAGGUGAAAUUCGUAGAUAUCGGGAGGAACACCAGUGGCGAAGGCGGCGACCUGGACGGACAUUGACGCUGAGACGCGAAAGCGUGGGGAGCAAACAGG